rnacentral:rRNA from 1 species
UACGUAGGGCGCAAGCGUUGUCCGGAAUCAUUGGGCGUAAAGAGCUCGUAGGCGGCCUGUUGCGUCCGCUGUGAAAACCCAGGGCUUAACCCUGGGCUGGCAGUGGAUACGGGCAGACUAGAGGUAGGUAGGGGAGAAUGGAAUUCCCGGUGUAGCGGUGAAAUGCGCAGAUAUCGGGAGGAACACCGGUGGCGAAGGCGGUUCUCUGGGCCUUACCUGACACUGAGGAGCGAAAGCGUGGGGAGCGAACAGG